CCUACGGGAGGCAGCAGUGAGGAAUAUUGGUCAAUGGGCGCGAGCCUGAACCAGCCAAGUCGCGUGACGGAUGACUGCCCUACGGUUUGUAAACUUCUUUUAUAAGGGAAUAAAUUUAGGCACGUGUGCUUUUUUGUAUGUACUUUAUGAAUAAGGAUCGGCUAACUACGGGCAAGCAGCCGCGGUAAUACGGAGGAUCCGGGCGUUAUCCGGAUUUAUUGGGUUUAAAGGGAGCGUAGAUGGGUUGUUAAGUCAGUUGUGAAAGUUUGCGGCUCAACCGUAAAAUUGCAAUUGAUACUGGCAGUCUGGAGUACAGGUGAGGUAGGCGGAAUUCGUGGUGUAGCGGUGAAAUGCGUAGAUAUCACGAAGAACUCCGAUGGCGAAGGCAGCUUACUAAACUGCCACUGACAUUGAGGCUCGAAAGUGUGGGUAUCAAACAGGAUUAGAUACCCUUGUAGUC
rnacentral:rRNA from 1 species